rnacentral:rRNA from 1 species
AGGAUGAACGCUAGCUACAGGCUUAACACAUGCAAGUCGAGGGGAAACGAUAUUGGAAGCUUGCUUCUGAUAGGCGUCGACCGGCGCACGGGUGAGUAACGCGUAUCCCAACCUCGCCCACCACUUGGGGAUAACCUUGCGAAAGUAAGACUAAUACCCAAUGACGUCCCUAGAAGACAUCUGAAAGAGAUUAAAGAUUUAUCGGUGAUGGAUGGGGAUGCGUCUGAUUAGCUUGUUGGCGGGGUAACGGCCCACCAAGGCGACGAUCAGUAGGGGUUCUGAGAGGAAGGUCCCCCACAUUGGAACUGAGACACGGUCCAAACUCCUACGGGAGGCAGCAGUGAGGAAUAUUGGUCAAUGGGCGAGAGCCUGAACCAGCCAAGUAGCGUGCAGGAUGACGGCCCUAUGGGUUGUAAACUGCUUUUAUAAGGGAAUAAAGUGGGAGUCGUGACUCUUUUUGCAUGUACCUUAUGAAUAAGGACCGGCUAAUUCCGUG